CAGGCUGCAACUCGCCUGCACGAAGUUGGAAUUGCUAGUAAUCGUGGAUCAGCAUGCCACGGUGAAUACGUUCCCGGGUCUUGUACACACCGCCCGUCACACCAUGGGAGCCGGUAAUACCCGAAGUCAGUAGUCUAACCGCAAGGAGGACGCUGCCGAAGGUAGGAUUGGCGACUGGGGUGAAGUCGUAACAAGGUAGC
rnacentral:rRNA from 1 species